rnacentral:rRNA from 1 species
CGAAACCGCGAAUGGCUCAUUAAAUCAGUUAUGGUUCACUAGAUCGUACAGUUUACAUGGAUAACUGUGGUAAUUCUAGAGCUAAUGCAUGCACCCAGUCCGUUCCCUCGUGGAGCGGAUGCAGUUAUUUGCCCAAAACCAAUCCGGCCUUCGGGUCGGUCAAUUGGUGACUCUGAAUAACCGAAGCGGAGCGCAUGGUCUCGUACCGGCGCCAGAUCUUUCAAGUGUCUGACUUAUCAGCUUGUUGUUAGGUUAUGUUCCUAACAAGGCAUCAACGGGUAACGGAGUGUCAGGGCCCGACACCGGAGAGGGAGCCUGAGAAACGGUUACCACAUCCAAGGAAGGCAGCAGGCGCGCAAAUUACCCACUCCCGGCACGGGGAGGUAGUGACGAAAAAUAACG